AGUGAACGCUGGCGGUAGGCCUAACACAUGCAAGUCGAACGGCAGCACAGUAAGAGCUUGCUCUUACGGGUGGCGAGUGGCGGACGGGUGAGGAAUACAUCGGAAUCUACUUUUUCGUGGGGGAUAACGUAGGGAAACUUACGCUAAUACCGCAUACGACCUACGGGUGAAAGCAGGGGAUCUUCGGACCUUGCGCGAUUGAAUGAGCCGAUGUCGGAUUAGCUAGUUGGCGGGGUAAAGGCCCACCAAGGCGACGAUCCGUAGCUGGUCUGAGAGGAUGAACAGCCACACUGGAACUGAGACACGGUCCAGACUCCUACGGGAGGCAGCAGUGGGGAAUAUUGGACAAUGGGCGCAAGCCUGAUCCAGCCAUACCGCGUGGGUGAAGAAGGCCUUCAGGUUGUAAAGCCCUUUUGUUGGGAAAGAAAAGCAGCAGGUUAAUACCCCGCUGUUCUGACGGUACCCAAAGAAUAAGCACCGGCUAACUUCGUG
rnacentral:rRNA from 1 species